rnacentral:rRNA from 1 species
UGCAACCCGACUCCGUGAAGCUGGAUUCGCUAGUAAUCGCGCAUCAGCCAUGGCGCGGUGAAUACGUUCCCGGGCCUUGUACACACCGCCCGUCAAGCCAUGGGAGCCGGGGGUACCUGAAGUCCGUAACCGCGAGGAUCGGCCUAGGGUAAAACUGGUGACUGGGGCUAAGUCGUAACAAGGUAUC